rnacentral:ncRNA from 2 species
GACUUAUCGAGAGCGGUGGAGGGAAUUGGCCCUAUGAAACCCGGCAACCUGCAAAUUCAGCAAGGUGCUAAUUCCAACAAAAUGUAAAUCAUUUUGGAAGAUAAGGU